rnacentral:rRNA from 1 species
CGGCGGAGCAUGUGGNUUAAUUCGAUGCAACGCGAAGAACCUUACCUGGGCUUGACAUGCGGGGAAAAGCCGUAGAAAUAGUGCGCCCGACAGGUGUGACGAGCGCAACCCUUGUCCUAUGUUGCUAACGGGACGUCAAGUAUCAUGCCCCUUACGUCCAGGCUGCACACAUGGCCGGUACAAGGGCUGCAAACUCGUGAGGGUGAGCCUCCCAUAAAGCCGGCCUCAGUUCGGAUCGCAGUGCAACUCGACUGCGUGAAGUCGGAGUCGCUAGUAAUCGAGAUCAGCAUCGCUGCGGUGAAUACGUUCCCGGGCCUUGUACACACCGCCGUCACACCACGAAAGUCGGCAACACCCGAAGCCGGUGGCCCAACCCUUAUGGGAGGGAGCCGUCNAAGUGGGGUCGGNGAUUGGGGUGAAGUCGUACAAGGU